ACUCGAGUGGCGAACGGGUGAGUAACGCGUGGGUGAUCUGCCCUGCACUUCGGGAUAAGCCUGGGAAACUGGGUCUAAUACCGGAUAGGAGCCAUUUUUAGUGUGAUGGUUGGAAAGUUUUUUCGGUGUAGGAUGAGCUCGCGGCCUAUCAGCUUGUUGGUGGGGUAAUGGCCUACCAAGGCGGCGACGGGUAGCCGGCCUGAGAGGGUGGACGGCCACAUUGGGACUGAGAUACGGCCCAG
rnacentral:rRNA from 1 species